rnacentral:rRNA from 1 species
GACGAACGCUGGCGGCGUGCCUAAUACAUGCAAGUAGAACGCUGAAGAGAGGAGCUUGCUCUUCUUGGAUGAGUUGCGAACGGGUGAGUAACGCGUAGGUAACCUGCCUUGUAGCGGGGGAUAACUAUUGGAAACGAUAGCUAAUACCGCAUAACAAUGGAUGACACAUGUCAUUUAUUUGAAAGGGGCAAUUGCUCCACUACAAGGUGGACCUGCGUUGUAUUAGCUAGUAGGUGAGGUAACGGCUCACCUAGGCGACGAUACAUAGCCGACCUGAGAGGGUGAUCGGCCACACUGGGACUGAGACACGGCCCAGACUCCUACGGGAGGCAGCAGUAGGGAAUCUUCGGCAAUGGGGGCAACCCUGACCGAGCAACGCCGCGUGAGUGAAGAAGGUUUUCGGAUCGUAAAGCUCUGUUGUAAGUCAAGAACGAGUGUGAGAGUGGAAAGUUCACACUGUGACGGUAGCUUACCAGAAAGGGACGGCUAACUACGUGCCAGCAGCCGCGGUAAUACGUAGGUCCCGAGCGUUGUCCGGAUUUAUUGGGCGUAAAGCGAGCGCAGGCGGUUUGAUAAGUCUGAAGUUAAAGGCUGUGGCUCAACCAUAGUUCGCUUUGGAAACUGUCAAACUUGAGUGCAGAAGGGGAGAGUGGAAUUCCAUGUGUAGCGGUGAAAUGCGUAGAUAUAUGGAGGAACACCGGUGGCGAAAGCGGCUCUCUGGUCUGUAACUGACGCUGAGGCUCGAAAGCGUGGGGAGCGAACAGGAUUAGAUACCCUGGUAGUCCACGCCGUAAACGAUGAGUGCUAGGUGUUGGAUCCUUUCCGGGAUUCAGUGCCGCAGCUAACGCAUUAAGCACUCCGCCUGGGGAGUACGACCGCAAGGUUGAAACUCAAAGGAAUUGACGGGGGCCCGCACAAGCGGUGGAGCAUGUGGUUUAAUUCGAAGCAACGCGAAGAACCUUACCAGGUCUUGACAUCCCGAUGCUAUUUCUAGAGAUAGAAAGUUACUUCGGUACAUCGGUGACAGGUGGUGCAUGGUUGUCGUCAGCUCGUGUCGUGAGAUGUUGGGUUAAGUCCCGCAACGAGCGCAACCCCUAUUGUUAGUUGCCAUCAUUCAGUUGGGCACUCUAGCGAGACUGCCGGUAAUAAACCGGAGGAAGGUGGGGAUGACGUCAAAUCAUCAUGCCCCUUAUGACCUGGGCUACACACGUGCUACAAUUGUUGGUACAACGAGUUGCGAGUCGGUGACGGCAAGCUAAUCUCUUAAAGCCAAUCUCAGUUCGGAUUGUAGGCUGCAACUCGCCUACAUGAAGUCGGAAUCGCUAGUAAUCGCGGAUCAGCACGCCGCGGUGAAUACGUUCCCGGGCCU